rnacentral:sRNA from 1 species
AGUCUGGGCUACCGGCGCCGCGUAGUGGAUGCAGCAUCCUAGUUGAGGACGCCCCUCUGGGGCAAGGAAGUCUGCAGACCCCAAGAGACACUGUGAUCAUCCAGCUUGGGCUCACAAGAAAACCCACGUGCGGCGAGAAAGAGCCAGGGAAAGAAGCAGCUUUAGGAAGGGCUUCAGGCUGGACACGGAUGACGGGCAGCUUCCCAGAGCUGCUCCAGAAAGGACAGACGCCAAGCCCACGGCUUUCCCGUGUCAGAUGCUCACGCAGUGUUGUGGGCUGCGGCCGGGCCGCAGAGAGCGCCGGAAGCAGCGCGCGGUAGAGCUGUCGUUCAUCUGCGGCACGUGCGGGAAGGCGCUCAGCUGCCACAGCCGGCUACUCGCUCACCAGACGGUGCACACGGGAACCAAGGCCUUCGAGUGCCCCGAGUGUGGCCAGACCUUCCGGUGGGCUUCAAACCUGCAGCGUCACCAGAAGAACCACACGCGCGAGAAGCCCUUCUGCUGCGAGGCGUGCGGGCAGGCGUUCAGCCUAAAGGACCGCCUGGCUCAGCACCGCAAGGUCCACACCGAGCACAGGCCCUACUCGUGUGGCGACUGUGGGAAAGCCUUCAAGCAGAAGUCCAACCUUCUCAGACACCAGCUGGUGCACACCGGGGAGCGGCCGUUCUACUGCGCGGACUGCGGCAAAGCCUUCCGGACCAAGGAGAACCUCAGCCACCACCAGAGGGUCCACAGCGGGGAGAAGCCCUACACCUGCGCCGAGUGCGGCAAGUCCUUCCGGUGGCCCAAGGGCUUCAGCAUCCACCGGAGGCUGCACUUGACAAAGAGGUUCUACAAGUGCGGCCACUGCGGGAAAGGCUUCCGCCACCUGGGGUUCUUCACGCGGCAUCAGAGAACUCACAGGCACGGGGAGGUGUAGGGGCGCCCGAAGCGUGGAGUGCUGCGCCUCUGCGGGAGUACUGGGCCCUGAGGGAGGGCUGCAGUGAGAAGUUGCUCUUCAGCCUGGAAAAUCAACCUGAAAAGAAGCCUUCUCAGUCCUCAGAGCUCCCCAGUCCCCCGAGUUUUACUGGGAAAACUGCCAGGUCCUGCGUACCGACGAAGCGACUGACCCAGCUGGUCUGAAGCACCCCCACGAGGAGGUACCUCAGAACCCAUGCCAGAUCCACACAAGGCUCUCGGUCAGUCCCGGAUGGAAGCUCCAGUCCCAGGCCGUGACAUGCAUCAGCUCCCACACCCAGGAUUGUCCC